rnacentral:rRNA from 1 species
GACGAACGCUGGCGGCGUGCUUAACACAUGCAAGUCGAGCGGAAAGGCCCUUCGUGGUACUCGAGCGGGGAACGGGUGAGUGACAGGUGAAUAACCUGCCCCAGACCUUGGGUUAACCCUCGGAUACGGGGGCUAAUACCGCAUACGACACAGCUUCGCCCUGGGUCUGUGUGGAAAGGUUGUUGGUUUGGGAUGGGCUUGGGGCCGAUCAGCUUGUUGUUGGGGUAAUGGCAGUCCAAGGCCAAGACGGGUAGCCGGCCUGAGAGGGCGAGCGGCGACAAGAGUACUGAGAGACGGCCCAGACUCCUACGGGAGGCAGCAGUGGGGAAUAUUGCACAAUGGGCGGAAGCCUGAUGCAGCGACGCCGCGUGUGGGAUGACGUCCUUCGGGUUGUGAACCGCUUUCGGCUGGGACGAAGCGUAAGUGACGGUACCUGAAGAAGAAGCGCCGGCUAACUACGUG